rnacentral:rRNA from 1 species
GAAAGGCUCAUUAAAUCAGUUAUGGUUCCUUAGAUCGUACCCACAAUUACUUGGAUAACUGUGGUAAUUCUAGAGCUAAUACAUGCAAACAGAGCUCCGACCGGAGACGGAAGGAGUGCUUUUAUUAGAUCAAAACCAAUCGGUGGCGGGCUCGUCAUCGUACAACUUGGUGACUCUGAAUAACUUUACGCUGAUCGCACGGUCAUCGCACCGGCGACGCAUCUUUCAAAUGUCUGCCUUAUCAACUGUCGAUGGUAGGUUCUGCGCCUACCAUGGUUGUAACGGGUAACGGGGAAUCAGGGUUCGAUUCCGGAGAGGGAGCCUGAGAAACGGCUACCACAUCCAAGGAAGGCAGCAGGCGCGCAAAUUACCCACUCCCGGCACGGGGAGGUAGUGACGAAAAAUAACGAUACGGGACUCAUCCGAGGCCCCGUAAUCGGAAUGAGUACACUCUAAACCCUUUAACGAGGAUCAAUUGGAGGGCAAGUCUGGUGCCAGCAGCCGCGGU